AGAACAACUAGGACUGAGCAUGACCAUACGAGAGAUCACUUGGAUUUGUAUUCAAUCGUCAGUGAUCAUCUCGAUGCUAUAGUUGUAUGAAGGUUCUUUGACCUGAGAUUAUACUACUGCUCGUAGUGAGGCUACUAAAAUUUGACUGAUAUAUAAACAUGGAUCUCAAUGAGCCCUUAUAGUGGAUGUUGACGAUAGUUGAUCCACUGU
rnacentral:lncRNA from 1 species